rnacentral:rRNA from 1 species
GACGAACGCUGGCGGCGUGCUUAACACAUGCAAGUCGAACGGAAAGGCCCUGCUUUUGUGGGGUGCUCGAGUGGCGAACGGGUGAGUAACACGUGAGUAACCUGCCCUUGACUUUGGGAUAACUUCAGGAAACUGGGGCUAAUACCGGAUAGGAGCCCCUGCUGCAUGGUGGGGGUUGGAAAGAUUCGGCGGUUGGGGAUGGACUCGCGGCUGUUCAGCUUGUUUGUGGGGUAGUGGCCUACCAAGGCUUUGACGGGUAGCCGGCCUGAGAGGGUGACCGGCCACAGUGGGACUGAGAUACGGCCCAGACUCCUACGGGGGGCAGCAGUGGGGAAUAUUGCACAAGGGGCGGAAGCCUGAUGCAGCAACGCCGCGUGCGGGAUGACGGCCUUCGGGUUGUAAACCGCUUUCGCCUGUGACGAAGCGUUAGUGACGGUAAUGGGUAAAGAAGCACCGGCUAACUACGUG